GAACCGACAAUACCAUUGCCAUAUCUAAAGUUUGAAGAAAUGAAAAAUUUCCUCGAAUUCCGUCAAAUACUUCCACUUCUUAUCCGCAGAAACAACUCUUCAACCCGACCAAAUCAUCAGUUCUCUGAGGAUCCAAAUUAACUUUGGAACAAGCUUUAUAACGUGGCAUGCCGUAAACCUUGGCAGUCGAAUUAGAAGAACAUCGCUGAAAUCAACACCUACGUAGAC